rnacentral:tRNA from 1 species
GGGCGAGUGGCGUAAUUGGCAGCCGCGAGGGACUUAAACUCCCUUGGAGGAAACUCCGUGCGGGUUCGACCCCCGCCUCGCCCA